rnacentral:lncRNA from 1 species
CAAAUUUAAGGAUAAGUUCGGCUGUUUAAAAACAAUCGACAAACAAGUGCAUAUUUUAAUGAUGGAAUGAUUGUAUUAUAUGAAUACACUUAUACUGAAACAACUUACUGCUGCAACCGUUAAAAAUUUAGCUUUAUUAACUACUCUUUCCGUUUCUAAAUAGAUGAUGUUUUGGAGAGUUUUUGAUGUUUCAAAAUACAUAUAUUUUGUUAUUUUAUAUUAAUUUUAAAUUUAUUAAAAACGGUGUGACCAAUGAGAUUUUAUAGUUUUUGUGAUGAUUGGUUGAAUUAAUUUUAUUUUAUAUUUUAAUGCUACUUUUUAGAUAAAAAAGUGAAUGUCUUCAUUUUUGUGCAUUUAACUAAAACAUCAACUAUUUUGAAACAGAGGGAGUAUAUCUUAAGAUACUAUAGAAUGCCACUCGGGUAUUAAUUAGACUACUAGAUUUUAACCUGUGCAACCGCGCAUAUAUUUUUUAAAAUUAAAUUAAGAAAAUUGUAAGCUAUGUCGGUUGCGUAUCUCGGUUUUGCAUGGAGUGAAAAAUCAAAUUGAUAUACUAGAUAAGUAAUUUGUAAUUUGAUAAUUCUAUUCAAAGCAGAAAAUUUUCUAGUGUUUUUGUUUGUAGAAUAUAUUUAUUUUUUAGAACAUAUUCACUUUAUUUUUAAUAUAUGAUGUUUUAGAGAAUUCUUUACUUCAAAUUAGAUGAUAUUUUCAAUUUUCAAUGCAAGUUUAUUCGUUUUUUCUUUUUAUAUUUCCAGUUAGCAUUUUUAUUGGAUGAAUUAUGAUUAGGUGAAUACUUAACAAUGUUUUUGGUUAGAU